ACUUGCUUAAUACAAGGAUCCAAAUUAGAAGAUGAAGUAUUAGCUUGGUUUAAAGCUAAGAAGUUAAGAGGGGUCCAUAAAUUGUUUCUACCAAUGUGUUUAUCAGCGCAUUGGGUUCUUUUUUGUGUCGAUACCAGAGAGAAGAAGAUUUCAUGGUUAGAUCCGAUACCAUCUUGUCGGAUAAUGUCUAAUAAUGUCGAAAAACAAAUAAUAUUACAGUGGUUCACAAACUAUCUACUGCCAGAGUUUGAUUAUAAUGAUGCAGAUGAAUGGCCAUUUGUAGUGCGUACUGAUAUCCCAAAGCAAGAAAAAGUAUUCGUGAUGAAAUAUGGUGAUUGUCUAACGCAUGGUGAUUUCUUCCCUUUUACACAAAAAGAUAUGAUUCAUCUCCGACGUCGUAUCUUUCUUGAUAUAUAUCGUGGAAAGCUGCAUGGUAAAAGAUAAACAAAUUUGCCACUUGUUUUGGAGCUGAAAUUCAAUGGAUGUAUUUUUUUUAAUGUCUUUUUAUUGUUAUUUUUGUUAAAUGUGACCCUUUUAUGGACAUAUAGUAUUUUCGUCAUUAAAUUUAUACUUAUUUUCCAUCGCAAUUGAAAUAA